AUUGAACGCUGGCGGCAUGCCUUACACAUGCAAGUCGAACGGUAACAGGUUAAGCUGACGAGUGGCGUACGGGUGAGUAAUAUAUCGGAACGUGCCCAGUCGUGGGGGAUAACGUAGCGAAAGCUACGCUAGUACCGCAUACGAUCUACGGAUGAAAACGGGGGAUCGCCAGACCUCGCGCGACUGGAGCGGGCGAUAUCAGAUUAGGUUGUUGGUGAGGUACAAGCUCACCAAGCCUGGGAUCUGUAGCUGGUCUGAGAGGACGACCAGCCACACUGGAACUGAGACACGGUCCAGACUCCUACGGGAGGCAGCAGUGGGGAAUUUUGGACAAUGGACGCAAGUCUGAUCCAGCAAUGUCUCGUGCAGGACGAAGGCCUUCGGGUUGUAAAGCUCUUUCGCAAGGGAAGGAAACUUAGCCACUAACAUUGGUUGAGGCUGACGGUACCUUGAUAAGAAGCACCGGCUAACCACGUGCCAGCCGCCGCUGUAA
rnacentral:rRNA from 1 species